GACGAACGCUGGCGGCGUGCCUAAUACAUGCAAGUUGAGCGAUGAAGAUUGGUGCUUGCACCAAUUUGAAGAGCAGCGAACGGGUGAGUAACGCGUGGGGAAUCUGCCUUUGAGCGGGGGACAAAAUUUGGAAACGAAUGCUAAUACCGCAUAACAACUUUAAACAUAAGUUUUAAGUUUGAAAGAUGCAAUUGCAUCACUCAAAGAUGAUCCCGCGUUGUAUUAGCUAGUUGGUGAGGUAAAGGCUCACCAAGGCGAUGAUACAUAGCCGACCUGAGAGGGUGGUCGGCCACAUUGGGACUGAGACACGGCCCAAACUCCUACGGGAGGCAGCAGUAGGGAAUCUUCGGCAAUGGACGAAAGUCUGACCGAGCAACGCCGCGUGAGUGAAGAAGGUUUUCGGAUCGUAAAACUCUGUUGGUAGAGAAGAACGUUGGUGAGAGUGGAAAGCUCAUCAAGUGACGGUAACUACCCAGAAAGGGACGGCUAACUACGUG
rnacentral:rRNA from 1 species